AUGAACAAAAUAAAACCAUAUCGAGGUCCUAGUUGUACGAUUUUGGUACGAUGUCCUUCCAACGUGGACUCACGUAGAACAUCACGCCACCACACAAACAUAGUAUAUAGGAUAAAAAUUAGGCCCAAAUGGAGAAGUGUUGCAUCCCCUUGAAAUGAGUGCAUGUACAUCACACCUCCUACGGUGGUUGCCAAAGCUCCGAGUGAACCCAAAAUAGGCCUUGGACUUGGAUCUACCAAAUGAUAAGAAUUCCUCUUAAGAUUCAAUCAUAAACUACUUUGCCAAGGUUGUAUGUAAACCCCCCCACCCCCUAAAGUAGUAAAGAAGGGCUCUUUGGGGUCUAAUUUUUAUAUUCUAUCUGACAGGAAAAACAAAUAGGAAGGGAUGGUUCUUUCAUUGCAUUGAUAGAAGUCUAACUAGAAAAAGAUCUUACUAUUACUAUCAAUUUAGGAAGAGAAUCAGAAUGAAAAGAAGCCCAAAAAAAAGCAAAAAAGAACAUAACCUCCGAUACGAUGAACAGAAUAAAACCAUAUCGAGGUCCUAAUUGUACGAUUUUGGUAUGAUGUCCUUCCAACGUGGACUCACGUAGAACAUCGCGCCACCAUACAAACAUAGUAUAUAGGAUAAAAAUUAGGCCCAAAUGGAGAAGUGUUGCACCCCCUUGAAAUGAGUGCAUGUACAUCACACCUCCUACGGUGGUUGCCAAAGCUCCGAGUGAACCCAAAAUAGGCCUUGGACUUGGAUCUACCAAAUGAUAAGAAUUCCUCUUAAGAUUCAAUCAUAAACUACUUUGCCAAGGUUGUAUGUAAACCCCCCCACCCCCUAAAGUAGUAAAGAAGGGCUCUUUGGGGUCUAAUUUUUAUCCUAUAUCUGACAGGACAAACAAAUAGGAAGGGAUGGUUCUUUCAUUGCAUUGAUAGAAGUCUAACUAGAAAAAGAUCUUACUAUCAAUUCAAAAAGAUCUCUCUAUUACUAUCAAUUUAGGAAGAGAAUCGUUGGGUUAACCGACGAACUACAUGGGAGGAUCUUCUUUCUUUUCUUUUUCCAAGACAAGCCCUUAGAAAACACUCACUUACGCCCAUCUGUCGGAUCCUAGCUACCCUUUUGUAACCAAGAAGAAGUCUUCUCUCGUUGACAACCCUGAUGCUACACGUGUGUCAUAUAUACGGAUGCAACAUGUGAAUGAACAUAUGAACAUGUUACAACAGUGGUAGCUUGAACAAACAACAAUGUAUCCCUUCUCUAAUAGCACGUCUCAUUCAUGUUCAAAGCAGCAAGAUAUAACAAGUUUCAUGCUCAAUCAGUAGUAAGUUUACUUCAUCCCCGGAGACCGGUCCAGUAGAGGACCCUUUAGGCGGAAACUACUAUGUUAUCGUGCAUUCUUCAUUCGCAUGAAAGUAUGAAUAUAAGCAAGCUUUCUUAUUCGAAAAAGAGCUAUGGAAGUUUUGUCGGUGUUCUUUCAUCUGUUAUAUAAGAUAUUUCGAAAUUUACAAUCAUGUGACUCGCCCAACCUAUACAAGGGGCUUUCAUCAGUAUUUUGUUGAAGGAUAAACCCUACUAAGGAAAGGAUGAUCUAUAGCUACUCCUAACCCUUAGCCGCCUCGACUGUUCGAAAGACUAACAAGUGGAGGAGGGAGUUCCAAAGCAACUGUGACUCAUGCGGCAGACAAAUUUAUUUCGACUCAUUGAAUGCUAGAAAAUACGCUUCUUUUGUCAGUUAGGUUAGGUGCGAAAGCCCAAAAAUAGGCCUUGGACUUGGAUCUACCAAAUGAUAAGAAUUCCUCUUAAGAUUCAAUCAUAAACUACUUUGCCAAGGUUGUAUGUAAACCCCCCCACCCCCUAAAGUAGUAAAGAAGGGCUCUUUGGGGUCUAAUUUUUUCGAUAGAUAGCAGGUUGCUUCCAAGCUCAAACCAUUUGAAACAACAAGCAACGGAUAAGCUUGAAAGAGGGAGCGGGGAAGGAAGAACAGCCGUUUUACUUUGGCACAUGAGGUGGCGGGUUUGGCUAGGUAACAUAAUGGAAAUGUAUCAGACUGCGAAUGCUAACAGUAUCGAAGCGCACCAAGAGAUUCCCGGUCGAACAAAUUUCGUAUAUAAAAAAAAAGAUGUGUUUUGUCCGUCCUCUUUUUUUUUAUUUAAAAAGAAAGAAAAAACGCUUCUUUUGUCAGUUAGGUUAGGUGCGAAAGCCCAUUAUGGGGGUUGUGUAUAGUGGAUGUUGUGGCUAGGGGGGUACUGUCUUGGUUCAAAUGAAUGCAUCUGAGUUAGCAAGCAGGUGGGGUACAAGAGAAAAAGAAUGUGAUCUUUAGGCUCUGAGUGAGCUAGGCGGUCAUUCUCCUACUCCUUUGAAUGUCUGCUCCUCAUAUGGAAAAUAGGAUGUCGGACUUAGAAUCUGCUUAUUCAAUAUCUUGUCCAGAGUAAAAUAUCACUACACCGGGGUUGUUGGCUUUCACGAAGCAAGACGGAUUUAUAAGAGCGCUACGCUAAUCAUCACCAUUGAGUGUUGGAGCAAUAAUUCUAUGAAAAGGGGAGUUAGACUUUCUAAAAAGCAACUGAAAUCGAGUACAUCAAAUCGAGAGAUCUUCGGAUUUUCGGUCUAUAGGUCGCGCAUUAGUCCCAUAUAUUCCCAUCGAUACAAAAUUAGGAAAUGAUUUGUUGCAAUCUUUGCUUUGGCUGUGGAAGGGGAAAGACUCGUUGCCCUACUGUUAGCUUUGUAAAGUAGUACUCAUAGGGUAAGGACAGGUGGCAUAGCGCAGUCCUAAUCGAUGUGGUGUCCAGUCACAAUCUAGAGAAUAAGAAGAUUCUUCUUUUCUUACAGAUUUUUAACGUCGCAGAGAUAGAACAUCUCGUUCUACUUUAUGUCUUACCUAGGGGCCUUGCCUUGGUGGUCUCAUUUAAUUAGUACGCCCACGUGACAAAAAGAGCAUCUGAAAAGGAGAGAAAGUCCCCCUCCUAUUGAAGCUGUUCAAAGGGGAAGCUCGCCCCUGUCACUGCUUUCUUCCCCUAUCCCUAAACAAAUAGUCAGAAUAGUGACUAGUCUCAGUCCUACUUACAUCCAUUGCUCCUUCCUCUGCUUCUCCCCUUUCUCUUCUGCCUGCAGAGAUAAUCUUUUUUCUGUGUUUUCAAACCAGCAUUUGUCAUCGGAUGAUCACCCCGGUUAAUAUAUGCAUUAACCCAUUGGUUUUCACAUUUAACUAGUGUGCCCGCGUGACAAAAAGAGCAUCUGAAAAGGAGAGAAGUCCCCCUCCUAUUGAAGCUGUUAAAAGGGGAAGCUCGCCCCUGUCACUACUUUCUUCCCCUAUCCCUAAACAAAUAGUCAGAAUAGUGACUAGUCUCAGUCCUACUUACAUCCCUUGCUCCUUCCUCUGGUUCUCCCCUUUCUCAUUUGCCAACAUAGAUCAUGUUUUUCUGUGUUUUCAAACCAACAUUUGUCAUCGGAUGAUCACCCCGGUUAAUAUAUGCAUUAACCCAUUGGUUUUCGACCAUGGGGUCGCCUUCCUCCUCCGGAU
rnacentral:lncRNA from 1 species